rnacentral:rRNA from 1 species
AGAGUUUGAUCAUGGCUCAGGAGAACGCUGGCGGCGUGCCUAAUACAUGCAAGUCGAGCGGACAGAUGGGAGCUUGCUCCCUGAUGUUAGCGGCGGACGGGUGAGUAACACGUGGGUAACCUGCCUGUAAGACUGGGAUAACUCCGGGAAACCGGGGCUAAUACCGGAUGCUUGUUUGAACCGCAUGGUUCAGACGUAAAAGGUGGCUUCGGCUACCACUUACAGAUGGACCCGCGGCGCAUUAGCUAGUUGGUGAGGUAACGGCUCACCAAGGCGACGAUGCGUAGCCGACCUGAGAGGGUGAUCGGCCACACUGGGACUGAGACACGGCCCAGACUCCUACGGGAGGCAGCAGUAGGGAAUCUUCCGCAAUGGACGAAAGUCUGACGGAGCAACGCCGCGUGAGUGAUGAAGGUUUUCGGAUCGUAAAGCUCUGUUGUUAGGGAAGAACAAGUGCCGUUCAAAUAGGACGGCACCUUGACGGUACCUAACCAGAAAGCCACGGCUAACUACGUGCCAGCAGCCGCGGUAAUACGUAGGUGGCAAGCGUUGUCCGGAAUUAUUGGGCGUAAAGGGCUCGCAGGCGGUUUCUUAAGUCUGAUGUGAAAGCCCCCGGCUCAACCGGGGAGGGUCAUUGGAAACUGGGGAACUUGAGUGCAGAAGAGGAGAGUGGAAUUCCACGUGUAGCGGUGAAAUGCGUAGAGAUGUGGAGGAACACCAGUGGCGAAGGCGACUCUCUGGUCUGUAACUGACGCUGAGGAGCGAAAGCGUGGGGAGCGAACAGGAUUAGAUACCCUGGUAGUCCACGCCGUAAACGAUGAGUGCUAAGUGUUAGGGGGUUUCCGCCCCUUAGUGCUGCAGCUAACGCAUUAAGCACUCCGCCUGGGGAGUACGGUCGCAAGACUGAAACUCAAAGGAAUUGACGG